rnacentral:rRNA from 1 species
AGCGCAGGCUGCCAGAUAAGUCAGAUGUGAAAGCCCGGGGCUCAACCCCGGAAGUGCAUUUGAAACUGUUUGGCUUGAGUAUGGUAGAGGGAAGUGGAAUUCCAGGUGUAGCGGUGAAAUGCGUAGAUAUCUGGAGGAACACCGGUGGCGAAGGCGACUUCCUGGACCAAUACUGACGCUGAGGCCCGAAGGUGUGGGUAGCAAACAGGAUUAGAUACCCUGGUAGUCC